rnacentral:snoRNA from 1 species
CUGAGGUCAUGAUGAUGUGAAGUUAUCCCUGUCUGAAGGCCAGGAAAGGCCUUUGUGGAAUGUGGAUGUCUGAAACUCAG